rnacentral:rRNA from 1 species
AUUGAACGCUGGCGGCAGGCCUAACACAUGCAAGUCGAGCGGAUGAAGGGAGCUUGCUCCUGGAUUCAGCGGCGGACGGGUGAGUAAUGCCUAGGAAUCUGCCUGGUAGUGGGGGAUAACGUCCGGAAACGGGCGCUAAUACCGCAUACGUCCUGAGGGAGAAAGUGGGGGAUCUUCGGACCUCACGCUAUCAGAUGAGCCUAGGUCGGAUUAGCUAGUUGGUGGGGUAAAGGCCUACCAAGGCGACGAUCCGUAACUGGUCUGAGAGGAUGAUCAGUCACACUGGAACUGAGACACGGUCCAGACUCUUACGGGAGGAAGCAGUGGGGAAUAUUGGACAAGGGGCGAAAGCCUGAUCCAGCCAUGCCGCGUGUGUGAAGAAGGUCUUCGGAUGGUAAAGCACUUUAAGUUGGGAGGAAGGGCAGUAAGUUAAUACCUUGCUGUUUUGACGUUACCAACAGAAUAAGCACCGGCUAACUUCGUG